rnacentral:rRNA from 1 species
AUUGAACGCUGGCGGCAGGCCUAACACAUGCAAGUCGAACGAGUGGCGGACGGGUGAGUAAUGUCUGGGAAACUGCCAGAUGGAGGGGGAUAACUACUGGAAACGGUAGCUAAUACCGCAUACCAUCAGAUGUGCCCAGAUGGGAUUAGCUGGUUGGUGGGGUAACGGCUCACCAAGGCGACGAUCCCUAGCUGGUCUGAGAGGAUGACCAGCCACACAGGAACUGUGAACAGGUCGAUACUCCUACGGGAGGCAGCGGUGGGGAACAUUGCACAAUGGGGGCAAGCCUGAUGCAGCCAUGCCGCGGGUAUGAAGAAGGCCUUCGGGUUGUAAAGUACUUUCAGCGGGGAGGCGUUACUCGCAGAAGAAGCACCGGCUAACUCCGUGCCAGCAGCCGCGGUAAUUC